rnacentral:rRNA from 1 species
GAUGAACGCUGGCGGCGUGCCUAAUACAUGCAAGUCGAGCGAACAGACGAGGAGCUUGCUCCUCUGACGUUAGCGGCGGACGGGUGAGUAACACGUGGAUAACCUACCUAUAAGACUGGGAUCAUUUCGGGAAACCGGAGCUAAUACCGGAUAAUAUAUUGAACCGCAUGGUUCAAUAGUGAAAGACGGUUUUGCUGUCACUUAUAGAUGGAUCCGCGCCGCAUUAGCUAGUUGGUAAGGUAACGGCUUACCAAGGCAACGAUGCGUAGCCGACCUGAGAGGGUGAUCGGCCACACUGGAACUGAGACACGGUCCAGACUCCUACGGGAGGCAGCAGUAGGGAAUCGUCCGCAAUGGGCGAAAGCCUGACGGAGCAACGCCGCGUGAGUGAUGAAGGUCUUCGGAUCGUAAAACUCUGUUAUUAGGGAAGAACAAAUGUGUAAGUAACUAUGCACGUCUUGACGGUACCUAAUCAGAAAGCCACGGCUAACUACGUG